AUUGAACGCUAGCGGGAUGCUUUACACAUGCAAGUCGAACGAGUGGCGGACGGGUGAGUAAUAUAUCGGACUGUGCCCAGUAGCGGGGGAUAAAUACUCGAAAGUGGGGCAAAUAGCGCAUUCUAUGGGAACGGCCGAUGUGGGAUUCGCUAGUUGGAGGGGUAAAGGCUCACCAAGGCGACGAUCCAUAGCUGGUUUGAGAGGACGACCAGCCACACUGGGACUGAGACACGGCCCAGACUCCUACGGGAGGCAGCAGUGGGGAAUUUUGGACAAUGGGGGAAACCCUGAUCCAGCCAUCCCGCGUGUAUGAGAAGGCCUUCGGGUUGUAAAGUACUUUCGGCAGAGAGGCGGUAUCUGCAGAAUAAGCACCGGCUAACUACGUGCCAGCAGCCGCGGUAAUAC
rnacentral:rRNA from 1 species